AGUGGGGAAUCUUAGACAAUGGGGGCAACCCUGAUCUAGCCAUGCCGCGUGGAUGAUGAAGGCCUUAGGGUCGUAAAGUCCUUUCGCUGGGGAAGAUAAUGACGGUACCCAGUAAAGAAACCCCGGCUAACUCCGUGCCAGCAGCCGCGGUAAUACGGAGGGGGUUAGCGUUGUUCGGAUUUACUGGGCGUAAAGCGCGCGUAGGCGGAUCAGAAAGUUGGGGGUGAAAUCCCGGGGCUCAACCCCGGAAUUGCCUUCAAAACUCCUGGUCUUGAGUUCGAGAGAGGUGAGUGGAAUUCCGAGUGUAGAGGUGAAAUUCGUAGAUAUUCGGAGGAACACCAGUGGCGAAGGCGGCUCACUGGCUCGAUACUGACGCUGAGGUGCGAAAGCGUGGGGAGCAAA
rnacentral:rRNA from 1 species